UUAAAAGUACUCCUAUCAUAUAGAAGCAUUAGUAAACCUUUCCACAAAGAUUAGGCACAUAUUUACAUUUUCUUUCUGUUUUUGUUGUGCCAAUUAAAUUUUAGAGAUUAACCUAUCAUUCAAUUUAUUUUGUGUGCUUGUGGAUCUCCGGUUUUUUUUUUUAAUCUUUCGUAAAUCAGCACUUUCUUGGUACUUCAAGUAAUGAAUAACACCUUACAUGCCUCAAAUAUAAAACAUAUUGUCAAUUGUUUACCAGUGUGAUGACUUUUUACAUAUAGUAUGAGCCUUUUAGAUUUUUUGUUAUGUCAUUAGACAAGAAAUAUUAGUAAUCAAUCUUGAAUUGGAGUUACUCGACUUACCUUGAAUUAUGUGAGUUUAUGAUGUACCAAUUUCAGGUGCAACAAGCUUUAGCAAAAAGCAUUAGUUGUUGGCGUUCUUUUCCUUUUUGUUUAAAAAGUAGCUAAAAAGUGUUGAAUGGCAGAGGUUUAGUUCUGCAUGUUAUAUCUAACUUUAUUUUGCUUAUCUACUGAUAUUUGGAAAUCAACGAGACUUCCUAGACAUAUGGUUCAGUUUUCACCUUCUUUCUUGGUUAUAGCAUUCUUGUGAAUUCCUUUUCUUGACAAAAGAUGAAGGCAUGAAGCCACUUCUUUUCAUUUAAUUUUGUGUUAGUUAAACUAAAUGUGAACAGUAAUCCUAGUUUUGAGUUGUUGAAUAGGAUUGUUUCUAUACAACUAUGCUUUUGGAUAAUUUUUUGAUUUCUCGGGCUUAAAUGUAAGCUCUUUUAGGAGAGAGUUAUUUUGGUGAAAUGACGUUUAAACAAACAAUUGAGGUUCUGUAAAGAAGGGCAAGCUUUAGAGUUCCAAAUGGAUUCUAUAAAGGCUAUAAUGCAAGAUAUUAAGGCUGACAUUUCAUUGUUCAAUGCGAUAGCCUUUGAUGCAAGAAUAUGUGUUUCUUUCGAUCUUUGGAUGUGAUAUUUUCUAAUCUCGAGUGUUUGAGUUAAUUAAUAAUAUUAAUAUGCGAGACAAUAAAGCCAAUGUGUUAAUUAGUUAAGCUCAUCUUGUAACAGUAAUGUGAGAUAGCUUAUGUGAAGUUUAACUUGAAUGUUGCUGAUGUUUUAGGCACACUAAUAGAUCAAUUAAUUGAUAACAUAGCACGUCCAGUUACUUGAGAUUCUAAGGAUUGCUUGGGAGAAGAGUAUUGAGAUUAGAAUUACACACGAACUUAUGCUACUUACCCAAAAAAAAAUAAAAGAAUUAGACAAUAUCACACAAUGCUAUUUUUGAGCCAAUUCGGUAUUAGUAUUCUAACAGUUUCUUUCUCCUGUUUUGCAUGCCUAUAUUGUACUAGCGCUCUGCUCUAAUCUUGUUCUUCUUUUGAUGAUUUGAAUGGAUUUUAUUGGUCUUCAACUAUGAUCGAAGCAGUUCCCCGUUAAAGAUGAUAUUUAUUUUUUCACCAAUUGUUAAUAAUGGUCUUUUUUUUAAAGGAACCGCCCUCUUGGUUUCUGGGUGAAAAAGGUUAUAUAACUAAUUUCUAAAGAUGUCAAACACAUUUCCUCGAAAAAUCCUGUUACCUUGUUGAUAAACUGGUGGCAGAUUAACUAUAAACUGAUCUUUCUAGACAUUGUAACAUCUCAGGAUAGCCAGCACUUUGCGCACAAAUUACUCGAUAAAGAUGAAAAGAUCAAGAAGAUGAUAUGAAGAACCUGGCCUUGAAGAAAGUGCGGAGCAAGUAAAAGAAUCUGAAAUGUUAAAGAACAAGUUGAAGCACAAGAGGACCUAUAUUAUGUUUGUCAGAAAUAUUUAAGGUCAAAUUUGAAAGCUAAUAAAUCUUCCCUUGAAGAUAGUGCGGCAGAGCAAAUUGAAGCGGUGGAAAUGUUAAAGAACAAGUUGAAGCCAAAGAGGAACUUUGUUUUUCUAGGGAUUGUUUGAGAUGUUGCCAUUUGUGCACGCCAUAAUUCUUCUCUUCCUUUUUAGGAGUUGUAAAAAUAGUGUUGUACAAUUUGGAUGGUAUAUAUUUGGUUAUGUGAUUUUUAGUUCUUUGUAAUUUACAAUGAUAUUUAAUAUAAUUAUUGAGUAUUUUGUAUGUGUUCUUCUA